ensembl:misc_RNA Metazoa_SRP Metazoan signal recognition particle RNA
GCCAGGUGCAGUGGCUCACGCCUGUAGUCCCAGAUACUAGGAGGCUGAGGUGGGAGUAUCACUUGAGCCCAGGAGUUUGAGUCCAGCCUGGGCAACACAGUGAGACCCUAUCUCUU